rnacentral:rRNA from 1 species
ACCAGACUCCUACGGGAGGCAGCAGUGAGGAAUAUUGGUCAAUGGGCGGAAGCCUGAACCAGCCAAGUCGCGUGAGGGAAGAAGGCCCUGCGGGUCGCAGACCUCUUUGGACGGGGAGCAAGGCCGCCGACGUGUCGGCGGAAGGAGAGUACCCGUAGAACAAGCAUCGGCUAACUCCGUGCCAGCAGCCGCGGUAAUACGGAGGAUGCGAGCGUUAUCCGGAUUUAUUGGGUUUAAAGGGUGCGUAGGCGGACUGGAAAGUCAGCGGUAAAAUCGAGAGGCUCAACCUCUUUCCGCCGUUGAAACUGUCGGUCUUGAGUGGGCGAGAAGUAUGCGGAAUGCGUGGUGUAGCGGUGAAAUGCAUAGAUAUCACGCAGAACUCCGAUUGCGAAGGCAGCCUACUAAACUGCCACUGACAUUGAUGCUCGAAAGUGUGGGUAUCAAACAGGAUUAGAUACCCGGGUACG